rnacentral:rRNA from 1 species
GUGUCAGCCGCCGCGGUAAAACGUAGGUGGCGAGCGUUAUCCGGAUUUACUGGGCGUAAAGGGUGUGCAGGCGGGACCUCAAGUGGUGCAUGAAAGCUCUCGGCUUAACCGAGAAAUGGUGUGCCAGACUGAGGACCUAGAGGGUGGGAGAGGGACGUGGAAUUCCGGGUGUAGUGGUAAAAUGCGUAGAGAUCCGGAGGAACACCAGAGGCGAAGGCGGCGUCCUGGCCCACAUCUGACGCUCAUACACGACAGCAUGGGGAGCGAACGGGAUUAGAUACCCCUGUAGUCC